GCAGCCACAGCGCCGCGCACCCGCUCCUCCGUCAGCUCCCACGCGGCUGGGAAGGGCGGGAGCGCGGACGCGCGGGACGACCCCGCCCCAGACCGCGGGCGCCCACAGGCCACGCCCCCGCCACGCCCCCGGCGCUUUCCCGCCCGCCGCAAGCCCCGCCCACCACCCGGUGCCCUCAGCCCUCAGGAAGGCGAGGCCCCUGCGCCCGAGGGCGCCGUCGACGACCCCCAGCCCGGCCUGCAGGCCGCCGAGGGGGCUGCUGCGGACCCCGCUGAAGAAAACGGAGCUGUGGACAAUGGAGGACCCGCGCCAGGGCUCCGGGACGGGACAGCGGUGCGGGGUCACGUGAGGGCCGCCUUCCGGAACCGGAGUCAGAGGAGAAGAAAGGGAAACGGGACGCGGGGCGGACCGCGCCCAGGGACGGGGUUCCAGGAGGACGGGCGCCGGCCCCAGGCUCAGGACGCGCUCCUCGGAGGGGGAUGCGGGAGCCGCGCCCACAGCUCCCGGGAGGGCGGGAAGGGCCGGGCCCCUGGGGAGGCCGCGGGGCUGCGGAGCCCGGGCGGCAGGGGGCGCUCUCCGGGACCACGGCCUCCUGUUUUCAACUAGUUUUAUUCUUACCAUUGUGUUUAUUUAUUCGAGAGAGAAUUACAGAGAGGGGAGAGACGAGGGUCUUCCGUCCUCUCGUUCGCUCUCCAAGUGGCCACAACAAGGGGUCUCCCAGGCAGGAGCAGGGCCCAAGCCCUCGGGCCACCUUCCACGGCUUCCCCAGGCCAUUAGGAGAGAGCCAGACGAAGAGGGGCAGCCAGGACGGAACCAGCGCCCACGGGGGAAGCCGGCCCUGCAGCCGGAGGCUUAGCACACCAGGGCACAGAAGAGGCUGGACCGCGGCGUCUCCGGUGCUGUGCAGAAAAACUGACUUGAAACUUACCCGUCUCCAGGAGCUAGAAUCCGCUGUUUUUCUCUUAGAGAAAGGAGGCCUUGCCUCCUGCGUGCGGGCUUGUAGUUUAUAACUGUGGCCGGCAGAAGUCUCUGAGGUCUAAAGUGCAGGUAAGGAAGUGAGGUGAAGGUGGCUGCAGGUCAUCCCGCACUGUCUAGGGUUAGAGGCUCUGGAGCUGGCGCGGUCACACUAAGGGAGGAGCCCAGGAGUGCAGCGUGGGGCGACAGGGCGUGCACAGAAGGGCAGGGCUGUGGGGGCGCUGUGGCACCCACAUGGGAGACCCAGAUGAAGCUCUUGGCUCCUGAUUUCAGCCUGCCCAGCCCUUGCCAUUGUGGCUAUUUUGGAAGUUAACAGGCCAAUAGAGGGUCAGUCUCUCUUUUCCUUUGCCUCUCUCUCUCUCUCUCUCUCCCCUUCCCCCUCCCCAACGUUCCAAUAAAUAAAUAAAAUAAAUCCUUUAACAAAGAGAGAAAGAAAAUCAAUGGUAAAAUCAAGAAAUCAAUGGCAAAGGACAAAAUACCCAGCCCCACUUAUGAAAUACAUAUACAUUUCUUCAGGGAGUGUUUUUCACACCUUUGUCAAAACUAACUGGGAUGUAGGUGCAUGAAUUUCUAUGGAUUCUCUUUAGUUCCAUUGUCCUAUGUGUCUAUUGCUAUGUUGGUACCAUACCGUUUUGGUCUCAAUAGCUUUGUGGCACAUCUUGAAAUUUUGCAUGGUGAUGCCUUUAGCUUUGGCUUCAUUGGGUUAAGAAUACUUUCAGUAUUCCGAGACUUUUGGUUUUCUUAAGAAUUUUAAGAUUUUUUUUCUAAUUCUGUGAGGAUGUCAUCAGAAUUUUGAUGGGGACUAUACUGAAUCUAAAUUAUUUUGGCUAGUUUUGACAUUUUAAUAAUAUUAAUACUUCCAAAUCAAGAGCAUACGAGGAAAUUUCAUUAUAUUGUGUCUGCUUCGAUUUCUAUCAUUAAAUUCAAUUGCUUUUAAAUUUCCAUUGAAGAAGUCUUUAACAUCUGGUUGAACUUAUCACAAGGUAUUUAAUUUUUUUUAGCUAUUGAGAAUUGGAUAGCACUUAUAAAAUCUCAUCAAGAUGGUUGUGAGUAUACAAUAAGGCCAUUGAUUUUGGAAUUCACGAACUGUGUAGCUAAUAAAGAAUUAAUAAUCCAGAACAGCCAGCGCCGCGGCUCACUAGGCUAAUCCUCCACCUUGUGGAGCCCGCACACCGAGUUCUAGUCCCGGUCGGGGUGCCAGAUUCUGUCCCGGUUGCCCCUUUUCCAGGCCAGCUCUCUGCUGUGGCCAGGGAGUGCAGUGGAGGAUGGCCCAGGUCCUUGGGCCCUGCACCCCAUGGGAGACCAGGAGAAGCACCUGCCAUAGGAUCAGCGCGGUGCGCCGGCCGCAGCGCACCAGCCGCGGCGGCCAUUGGAGGGUGACCCAACGGCAAAAAGAAAGACCUUUCUCUCUGUCUCUCUCUCACUGUCCACUCUGCCUGUCAAAAAAAAAUAAUAAUAAUAAUCCAGAACAUAUAAGGAAUAAAAGAACUUCACCUGUCAGGUAGAUGCCUCACAUCAGAAGUUUGGAAUUUACCUGGUUCAUGAAAGUGAGAUGUAAGUGAGGUGUUGAAGGCAUUUGUUAAGUGUGGAUGCUUUCUAUGAUUCCCUCCAUCUGUGGACUCUGACAUUAAACAAACUGCUUAUCUGCCCCCAGUGUGCAGGGGACAUAGGGUGACAGUGACAGUGGCUCUAAUUCAGCAAGGGUAGAAAUGGAGGCCACAAGGAAGUCAUGCAUCCAAAAGUUUUCAAGUUGAGAUGGGCAAAUCCAACAGGACUUCCUGGGAUAGGUUUCAGGGCCGAGGACUAAUCCUCUGAGACAUGGGCCUUGCCUCUGGGUCUCAGCCUGCGAUACUGCCAUCUUCAUUUGAGCCAGUAAUCGUCCUUUCUUCUCACACUCCUCUGAUGUUUGCCUUCUUCCUGAUGUCAGCAGCUGUCUCUUGGUUGUUUUGCACAUACACCUUACCUGAGUCAGUCUGCCAAUGCCGCGUGCUUGGCUUUGACCACUUUCUACCAGAGGCUGUUCUCACAAUCUCAGGCACCUCUGGAAAAUCUUUAUUGACCUGAUUUGCAUAGUUCAUGGUGGUUUUUAAAUUUUUUUAUCUUUGACACUAGCAGAACAGCCUAGUAGAAAAGCUAAGUCUACAGGGGCCCAGAAGGAAUCUCUACUCUCCCUGGCUCCAGGACAAAAAAACAAUAGCAUGGAUCUUCAUACAGAAAUGACCUCCAUGAGGUCUGACACUCUCCAGCAUUGCAGCAGAGGAGAAAGCCUGAGGGAGAAUUCCGGAGGUGAGGGCUCCACAGGACAGGCAGGGCUGUGUUAAAUACCUGUUAAACUUGAGUGUUAUCUCUCACAUUCUAUCACCCAGUGAUUGAAAACAGAGAAUAAAUAAUGGGAGAAAAGAAUUGUGAGAAAAGAUGUGUCCAAGGAAGGACCUUCUUACUUUUGUUUGUUUUUUGCAGCAGAAAUACCAGUGCUUUAUGCAAAGUUCACAAAACCCAGCCUUGCAUUCCUGGAAGACAAGAGUCAAGCCUGGGACAGGGAAGCUGGAGGUCAAAGCUCAUGGGGUGGCCCUACUACCAUCAGGUGCUGUGGUGCUGAGACAACCUCUUAGUCUGCAUGGACCUCAUGUUCAUCAUCAGUGAGGUCUGGAGCUGAAACCACAUCCUGAGAUCCCAGAACUGAAGGUGCGGAUGAAGGAAGAGGAGCAGCUCUCUGGGACAUGAGAAUGACCCAGAGAAUGACAAGGGCACCCCUGAGAGCCUGGUGCACCUGCUUGUUGCGCAGGGUGUAGAUGACAGGGUUCAGCACCAGGGUCAGCACCGUGUUCACCAGAGCAGCCUGUCUGUUGAAGUCCACCCUGCUCGUCUGCUUUGGCUUCACAUAGAUGAAAAGACAGCUGCCGUACAUGAGAGAGAGGACGAUGAGGUGAGACGAGCAGGUGGAGAAAGCUUUCUGUCUAAUGGGAGCUACACAAUGGUGACUAUGAUGUUGCCAUAUGCGAUGAUGGUCACAGUGAGUGACAUCAUAAUGAUACAUAAAGCAAGGAAGAAGGCAUAUAUUUCAACAGGUAUGGUGUCAGAGCAGGAGACGUGAAUUAAGGCACCAAAGUCGCAGAAGAAGUGAGGGAUGAGGUCGGAGCCACAGAAGGACAACUGGGAAACCUUGAGAACCAGAGCAGUGAUGAAGAGGAAGGACACUGUGCAGCAGCAGGAAACCAGAAGCAAACACACCCACAGGUUCAUGAUGGCCGGGUAGUGUAGAGGCUUGCAAAUGGCCAGGUAUCGAUCCAAGGAAAUCACAGCCAGGAGGAAGAAAAUUGUUGACCCAAGGAAUAAGAAAGAAAAGGCUUGUGUGAGACAUGCAGUAAAGUGAAUUCUUUGCUGUCCUAAAAGAAAGAUGGACAGCAGCUUAGGAAUCACUGUGCUAAUAAAACAGCAUUCGUAGAAUGAGAAACUGCUGAUCAAAAUAUACAUGGGUGGGUGGAGGCGCUGGUCAGCCCAGGUGACGGUGAUGAUAAGCGUGUUUCCUGUGAUGGAGGCCAGGUAUGCCAGCAGGUGCACCAGGAAGAGGACUUUCCCAAGGCGCUGGAGAGCAGGGAACCCCUGCAGGGUGAACUCCUGGACAGUUGUCUGGUUCCUCACCUCCAUCAAUAUCUGCAUCCCUCUUUGAUCUGUUGGGCAGAAAAUACUCUCAUUGAUAAAUAGCUUAAUUGAUGACCACCAUUUCAAAAGCUGUUUGCAGUUACUAUUCUCAAUGGGGAGUAACUUUCUUUUUUUUUUUUUUUUUUUUUUUUUUUGGACAGGCAGAGUGGACAGUGAGAGAGAGAGACAGAGAGAAAGGUCUUCCUUUGCUGUUGGUUCACCCUCCAAUGGCCGCCACAGCUGGUGCGCUGCACUGAUCCGAAGGCAGGAGCCAGGUGCUUCUCCUGGUCUCCCAUGCAGGUGCAGGGCCCAAGCACUUGGGCCAUCCUCCACUGCACUCCCUGGCCACAGCAGAGAGCUGGCCUGGAAGAGGGGCAACUGGGACAGACUCCGGCGCCCCAACCGGAACUAGAACCUGGUGUGCCAGCGCCACAAGGCGGAAGAUUAGCCUACUGAGCCGCGGCGCCGGCCAGUAACUUUCUGUUUUUAAAAUAUUUUUAUUAUAGGAAGCAUACAUUUAGUUUAUUGGUCAGGACACCCAUUUCACUUAUCAGGGUGUCUUGGAUCUAUUCUGGCUGAAACUCCUGACUCCAGCCUCCCAUGCUAAUGCAGACACUGAGAGGCAGAGAGGAUGGCUCACUUAUUUGGGGUCAUGCCCUUGACAUGGUGUGUUUUUGGCAUUUGGGUGGUAAACCAGAGGCUGAUAUUUCUCUCUCUCUGUUUCUGCCUCUCUCUCUCUUCUCUCUCUCUCCAUCUGUGUGUCUGUAUGUGUGCAUGUGUUUCUCUCUAUUUGUCUCUCAAAUAAAUAAGGAAAAAUUAGCUAAAAAUUGUUGUAUAAAUCAUUAGGUAUUUUUCCUUUUGUUAAAUUGUAAACAAAAAAUUGAAGGUUAAUUUUUUGCAUUUGUUUUUGAGAAUUGCUUUUUAUGUGUGAGCUCAUUUUUCUAAUAAACAACCUAUUUUGAAUACUAUUCCAUAAGGAAAACAAAGCAGUAUGAAAAUUAUUUUUGUAGGCAACAUUAACAACUAAUAGCAAUGAAGGCUGUCAAACCUCAGGGGAUGUUCUGGCAUGGGUCACUAUGGUAGUUCCUACAUUUCAGGAAUGGCAUGAUCCCCUGGAGUGGCCCUGCACACAGAUUUCACCCAUCUGACACGACAUUGGGAAGCUUGAAAAAGCCAUGCUCCCAUUAUCAUGUUCUAACCCAGUUAUUUACAUGAAGUCCAUGUAGCCUGAGUUCUGUGCCCAAAACUCUAGCGCAAGCAGGAAAACUCACUAUUGUAGUUUGUCUUCACUUUCCACUCCACAGACAUAAGAGAAAUCAUGUCUAAAGAAGGUGGAGGAGGAAUGGUUCCAUGGACUGCAUUGUUCAAGCAUACAAGCAAAUGCAAAGUGGGUGAUACACUAAUUCUAACUCUAUCGGUUUAGGAGAAUGCAAGUGUCUCCUGCUGUUGGUCAUCCAUUACCCCCUCAACGUGGCUUUAUCCUGGAACAUUAUUGUUGUAUGCGGAAGUUCUGCUGUGGUUGGAUGCACAUUGCAACUACUAGAAGAGCAAUAACUCUAGUUUCUUUAAA